rnacentral:rRNA from 1 species
AAGCCUACGGGACGCAGCAGUGGGGGAUAUUGCACAAUGGAGGAAACUCUGAUGCAGCGACGCCGCGUGAGGGAAGACGGUCUUCGGAUUGUAAACCUCUGUCUUUGGGGAAGAAAAUGACGGUACCCAAAGAGGAAGCUCCGGCUAACUACGUGCCAGCAGCCGCGGUAAUACGUAGGGAGCGAGCGUUAUCCGGAUUUACUGGGUGUAAAGGGAGCGUAGACGGCGGCGCAAGUCCGGAGUGAAAGCCCACGGCCCAACCGUGGGACUGCUCUGGAAACUGUGCGGCUUGAGUGCGGGAGGGG